AGUUAUUCUAAACAAAGCCUGAAUUCUUGCAGUAGAACCCAAGAAAUUUUGCUGGAUUGGAAUCUCAACUUUGUAAAAAGUAAACAUCUUUGAUGUUUACAAAUUUUCUUCAUAAACAUACAGAAGCAAUCAGAACUGUUUGUGAUUAUAUGAAUCUCCACUUCAAUGGAUACACAUAAGUUCCUGUCACAAUGACAGCAAGUUUUCUAAGGAUUCUUCUCCUUGCUCUGUCCUUCAUUGCUUUAAUGCCACAGAAAUCAGAGGGUCAAUUGGGCCUGUGGAAAGGGAGGUGCAGAUUGCAGGAAGAUACAAAGGAACCAACCCUGUUAUCCGCCAAGCACAGCAAGGGAUCAUGCCUCUUAUGCCUUCGAUAACUCUUAUCAGAAGUUUAAGCAUGAAGGAGCAACUUGUUACUUCAAUGCUGCUGCUCUCGUCACUGAUCUUGAUCCAACUGAGGAAAGCAACGUUGGUGUCACCUUCUUUGAAUCACCCAAUGAUGCUCGUCACAAGACAAGAUAUUUAUUCAGACAGGAUUUAACUCUUCUUAGAUUACAAGUAUUUUUUUUUUUUUUUUAAUGACAUUUUUUAAUAGCAUUGAUUGCUCUUCUAUUUCCUUCCUUCCAUACAUGGUGAAAAUGCAUUAAAUAGAAUUGACUCUCCUUAAAUUAAGAGAUACAUUAUCUGUAAGCAAACUACUAGAGA